GACGAACGCUGGCGGCGUGCUUAACACAUGCAAGUCGAACGCUGAAGCUUGGUGCUUGCACUGGGUGGAUGAGUGGCGAACGGGUGAGUAAUACGUGAGUAACCUGCCCUUGACUCUGGGAUAAGCCUGGGAAACUGGGUCUAAUACUGGAUACGACAUGUCACCGCAUGGUGGUGUGUGGAAAGGGUUUUAAUGGUUUUGGAUGGGCUCACGGCCUAUCAGCUUGUUGGUGGGGUAAUGGCUCACCAAGGCGACGACGGGUAGCCGGCCUGAGAGGGUGACCGGCCACCCUGGGACUGAGAGACGGCCCAGACUCCUACGGGAGGCAGCAGUGGGGAAUAUUGCACAAUGGGCGGAAGCCUGAUGCAGCGACGCCGCGUGAGGGAUGACGGCCUUCGGGUUGUAAACCUCUUUCAGCACGGAAGAAGCGAAAGUGACGGUACGUGCAGAAGAAGCGCCGACUAACUACGUG
rnacentral:rRNA from 1 species